AGAGUUUCAUCCUGGCUCAGAUUGAACGCUGGCGGCAGGCCUAACACAUGCAAGUCGAACGGUAACAGGAAACAGCUUGCUGUUUCGCUGACGAGUGGCGGACGGGUGAGUAAUGUCUGGGAAACUGCCUGAUGGAGGGGGAUAACUACUGGAAACGGUAGCUAAUACCGCAUAACGUCGCAAGACCAAAGAGGGGGACCUUCGGGCCUCUUGCCAUCGGAUGUGCCCAGAUGGGAUUAGCUUGUUGGUGGGGUAACGGCUCACCAAGGCGACGAUCCCUAGCUGGUCUGAGAGGAUGACCAGCCACACUGGAACUGAGACACGGUCCAGACUCCUACGGGAGGCAGCAGUGGGGAAUAUUGCACAAUGGGCGCAAGCCUGAUGCAGCCAUGCCGCGUGUAUGAAGAAGGCCUUCGGGUUGUAAAGUACUUUCAGCGGGGAGGAAGGGAGUAAAGUUAAUACCUUUGCUCAUUGACGUUACCCGCAGAAGAAGCACCGGCUAACUCCGUGCCAGCAGCCGCGGUAAUACGGAGGGUGCAAGCGUUAAUCGGAAUUACUGGGCGUAAAGCGCACGCAGGCGGUUUGUUAAGUCAGAUGUGAAAUCCCCGGGCUCAACCUGGGAACUGCAUCUGAUACUGGCAAGCUUGAGUCUCGUAGAGGGGGGUAGAAUUCCAGGUGUAGCGGUGAAAUGCGUAGAGAUCUGGAGGAAUACCGGUGGCGAAGGCGGCCCCCUGGACGAAGACUGACGCUCAGGUGCGAAAGCGUGGGGAGCAAACAGGAUUAGAUACCCUGGUAGUCCACGCCGUAAACGAUGUCGACUUGGAGGUUGUGCCCUUGAGGCGUGGCUUCCGGAGCUAACGCGUUAAGUCGACCGCCUGGGGAGUACGGCCGCAAGGUUAAAACUCAAAUGAAUUGACGGGGGCCCGCACAAGCGGUGGAGCAUGUGGUUUAAUUCGAUGCAACGCGAAGAACCUUACCUGGUCUUGACAUCCACAGAACUUUCCAGAGAUGGAUUGGUGCCUUCGGGAACUGUGAGACAGGUGCUGCAUGGCUGUCGUCAGCUCGUGUUGUGAAAUGUUGGGUUAAGUCCCGCAACGAGCGCAACCCUUAUCCUUUGUUGCCAGCGGUCCGGCCGGGAACUCAAAGGAGACUGCCAGUGAUAAACUGGAGGAAGGUGGGGAUGACGUCAAGUCAUCAUGGCCCUUACGACCAGGGCUACACACGUGCUACAAUGGCGCAUACAAAGAGAAGCGACCUCGCGAGAGCAAGCGGACCUCAUAAAGUGCGUCGUAGUCCGGAUUGGAGUCUGCAACUCGACUCCAUGAAGUCGGAAUCGCUAGUAAUCGUGGAUCAGAAUGCCACGGUGAAUACGUUCCCGGGCCUUGCACUCACCGCCCGUCA
rnacentral:rRNA from 1 species